UGACUGAUUUAUCCUUUUGGGUCACAGGCUUGUCUCAAAGAUGAAACCUGCACGAUUGAGAACACCUGGCGCGGACAAUGAAAAUGCGAAUGGUUCCCGGACUCUCUUGCUCCUCUCCUACUCAGAUCGCCCUAUCAAUUUCCAAGCUAAAAUGGCUCGACAGGUGUGAAUGGGGGAUUCAAGAGGUUUUGUUUUGCUUUGUUUUACCCCCAGAGGAAAUCAUCUUAGCUAUAACACGAUGCUAACCACCCUGUUGGCUUGUAUCGGCCUCAUCCAAGAUCUUGGGAAGGCUCCCAGGCAAUGUGUUCAUGUGUUCAGCUGUAUACAUCUGCAAAAUUUGUGACAGCAAAAUUUUAACCAUAACCAAGGUUCGAUUCCAGAAGCUUAUACACGGGCUGCCACAUCCAAUAAAGGCGGCAGGAGUGCAAAUGACCUACUCCCCACCCGGACACGAGGGAGUGAGGGGAGAAUCACAAGUGGAAACUUUGUUGGCCCUGUAGUUGGAGGGAAGCACACUUUAAAUCCUUCAACUAAGAUCCACUGGAGGGCAAGCCGGGUGCUAGCAGUCAGUAAUACAGCCUUAAUACCGCCUUAAAACCAUACAUUAAAAUUGCCGGAGCUAAAGAAGGUAGUAGUUGGAUCUUGGGAGGUGUUCUUCAAAGCAGGCCUCAGUGGCCUGGAUACAGCAGCUACAGAGUAGCUCUUGAUUCUUCCUUAUUGAUUUGCUAACUGAGGGCAUGAUUAAGAGAAGCAGACCUUAGUGUUCCUAGAAUGCUCCUAGACUGAUGUUCUUGGGCUAGGGUAAGACAGAUCAGAACAAACCUCAAGAACAUUUUCAGUAAUGAAGCGUGGAAGACAGAGAACCAAAGAACAUCAAACUCCCUUCUUAGCACCGAGAGUGGAAAUUGACUGGUGCACUGAGGCCUUAUUCUCCUAGCCUUUUCUGAGAAGGCUGUCUUUGGUUUCCAGUAAGAGAAGACGAAAGGGCACCACCAGGAGGGAAGCCUGCAGCUUUGUUGGACACAAGACCCUGACAUUGAAAAAAUGGAUGUGCUGUUACCUCUUUCUCCAAUCUACGUGUGGUAGUAUCUGGCCAUUUUUAGUGGUGGAGUAGUGUUUCUGAUGAAUUCUGAUAAGGAACAAGACUAGUACAUGAUAACAAUUACAUGACCCUCGUUGACCCCCAAAUGGUCAAUUCUUAGUUUCCAGAUUCUUAGUGGAUCAGCAUCCCUCCCACCCCCAAGAUUGAGCACUGCCAGGUCUAAAUGCCCAUCAACAUGUGUACUGCUUUGACUCACCUGGGAGUUGCUUACCUUUAGGCCUCUGAAUUCCAUUCAAGGUGGGGAUUUGGGAUUGCAAUGAUCCCCCACGUAUAAGGCAUUCCUUGCAGGUUGGGCCGGGGCAUCAUAAACUUCAUGAUUUAGACCAUGCCCUUUGUGCCAUGGCUACUAGCGAUUGGAUGGUUG
rfam:Chlorocebus sabaeus isolate 1994-021 chromosome 17, whole genome shotgun sequence.